GUGCCAGCCAACUGCGGCUGCCUGGGACACUCCAUCUUAAGUCCCUGUGCCUCUGCUGUGUGUUACUGAGUGCCUAGGCCAUGCCAGCCUGUAUUCAUCUGUACCAUGACCUGAAGAGGCAGAGGCUAUCGUUGUUGGUCCGGUCUCCACCUGGGGAAACUGAGGUUACACAGUUGAGUGGUAGAGUGAGGGCAGGGCCUGGCUGGGUCUGGGUCUGGGGGUAGGGCCUGGGUCUGACCCUAGGGACUGGGUUUUGUGUUCAGGUGUCUGUGUGGUGAUGAGCAGGGCUUCAUCCAGUGCCCCUGUCCCCACCGAGGGGACUAUGGGAGCCAUGGAGGGUGCGUGAGCAGCAGGUGAGACUGGAGCCAGCUGAAAACUGGGAGACCGACCCAGCCAACAAACAAUGUCGGUCUCUGUCCUGGCACCCGCAGGAAACAAGCUCCUACUUCCAGAAAAAGUGCUCCUGGGACUCAAGGAUACCAAGCAUCUGGGUAAGGUACAACGCUUAACCACUUAACACAAUCAGGAAGCAACAGCCACGCAUUUGGGAAAGGAACUUCAGCGUUGUGUGGCUCAGUCUC
rnacentral:lncRNA from 1 species